rnacentral:lncRNA from 1 species
CAGGACCUCAGCCGAGGGCUCCAAGACAUGCAAUCCCCUUGCAUGUCCCAGGAAUACAAGUCACCCCAGCUGCUGCUACCGUAGGCAAGAGGAACCUUUCUCCUUCACCUCCUGGCAAGGCACAGCGGGAAUCCACGCAGAGAUGACUACGGCCCCUGGAAAACCUCUCACCGGUGUGGGACUGGGUCCAUACGCGGUAGGAACUACGCUGUGCCCUACUGCACACACAGGCAUUUCGGCUGCAGUAAGGAGAAGCCCCGUGCCCUGCCUUGUGCUGUGUCUGGCUCACAAGGACAUCGCUGCCGCUGCCAGGUAAUGGAGUUACUCCUCGAACUCCCAUGGUCUAAAAUAAUAAAUCCCCAGCCUCUGCUGAUGCCCUGGUGUACAAGAUUACAACACUCACACUGUGAGAGAGAAGUUCACAUGCCAGU